rnacentral:rRNA from 1 species
GAUGAACGCUGGCGGCGUGCCUAAUACAUGCAAGUCGAGCGAACAGACGAGGAGCUCGCUCUUCUGACGUUAGCGGCGGACGGGUGAGUAACACGUGCAUCACCUACCUCUUAUUCUUGGAUAACUUCGGGAAACCGGUUCCACUACCAGCUCAUAUAUUCUACCGCAUGGUUCAAUAGUGCUUGACGGCUUUGCCGUCUCUUAUAGAUGGAUUCGGGCCGCAUUAGCAAGUUGGUAAGGUAACGCCUUACCAAGGCAACGAUGCGUAGCCGACCUGAUAGAGUGAUCGCCCAAACUGGAACUGGAACACGGUCCAGACUCCUACGGGAGGAAGAAUUAGGAAAUCUUCCGCAAGGGGCGAAAGCCUGACGGAGCAACGCGGCGUGGGUGAUGAAGGUCUUCGGAUCUUAAGACUCUGUUAUUAGGGAAGAAAGAAGGUGUAAGUAACUAUGCACGUCUUGACGGUACCUAAGCAGAAGGCCACGGCUAACUACGUG